rnacentral:rRNA from 1 species
UACGUAGGGUGCAAGCGUUGUUCGGAAUUACUGGGCGUAAAGGGCUCGUAGGUGGCCAACUAAGUCAGACGUGAAAUCCCUCGGCUUAACCGGGGAACUGCGUCUGAUACUGGAUGGCUUGAGGUUGGGAGAGGGAUGCGGAAUUCCAGGUGCAGCGGUGAAAUGCGUAGAUAUCUGGAGGAACACCGGUGGCGAAGGCGGCAUCCUGGACCAAUUCUGACACUGAGGAGCGAAAGCCAGGGGAGCAAACGGG